UGCUAGAGUCAGCUUUUCUCACUGUGUG
rnacentral:piRNA from 1 species